AUUGAACGCUGGCGGCAGGCUUAACACAUGCAAGUCGAGCGGAGAUGAGGUGCUUGCACCUUAUCUUAGCGGCGGACGGGUGAGUAAUGCUUAGGAAUCUGCCUAUUAGUGGGGGACAACAUUCCGAAAGGAAUGCUAAUACCGCAUACGCCCUACGGGGGAAAGCAGGGGAUCUUCGGACCUUGCGCUAAUAGAUGAGCCUAAGUCGGAUUAGCUAGUUGGUGGGGUAAAGGCCUACCAAGGCGACGAUCUGUAGCGGGUCUGAGAGGAUGAUCCGCCAAACUGGGACUGAGACACGGCCCAGACUCCUACGGGAGGCAGCAGUGGGGAAUAUUGGACAAUGGGCGGAAGCCUGAUCCAGCCAUGCCGCGUGUGUGAAGAAGGCCUUUUGGUUGUAAAGCACUUUAAGCGAGGAGGAGGCUACUGAGACUAAUACUCUUGGAUAGUGGACGUUACUCGCAGAAUAAGCACCGGCUAACUCUGUGCCAGCCGCCGCGGUAAUAC
rnacentral:rRNA from 1 species